rnacentral:rRNA from 1 species
UGGGGAAUAUUGGACAAUGGGCGCAAGCCUGAUCCAGCCAUGCCGCGUGAGUGAUGAAGGCCCUCGGGUUGUAAAGCUCUUUCACCGGGGAAGAUAAUGACGGUAACCGGAGAAGAAGCCCCGGCUAACUUCGUGCCAGCAGCCGCGGUAAUACGAAGGGGGCUAGCGUUGUUCGGAUUUACUGGGCGUAAAGCGCACGUAGGCGGACUUUUAAGUCAGGGGUGAAAUCCCGGGGCUCAACCCGGGAACUGCCUUUGAUACUGGAAGUCUUGAGUAUGGUAGAGGUGGGUGGAAUUCCGAGUGUAGAGGUGAAAUUCGUAGAUAUUCGGAGGAACACCAGUGGCGAAGGCGGCUAACUGGACCAUUACUGACGCUGAGGUGCGAAAGCGUGGGGAGCAAACAGG